AAAAAAAACUCCCAGGACUGACCUGAGCCCUUGGCUCCUCCCAGACCACUCAAGCUUAGUCAUAGCCCUCGGAAUCCCCAAUCCCCACAUCUGGCUCAGCCACCCCCGCCCCUCCACGUCCCACCCAGGUCACGGAGGCAGAGGAACUUCUUCAAAAUCUGUUUCAGCAGUCCCUGUCUGGGCCCCAGGCCUCAGUGGGGCUUGAGCUGGUGAGUAGCUCCCCAUUCCCUGGGCGCUGGAUCUUAGGUGGAUGGGAAGGCUGCGUCCCAGCCCUGAUGACCACAGAGUCGUGCCUCUUCCCCAGGGCAGCGGAGUGACGGUCUCCAGCGGGCAGGGUAUCCCACCCCCUACCCGGGGGAAUAGCAAGCCGCUUUCCUGCUUCGUGGCCCCGGACUCCGGUCGCCUGCCAUCCAUCCCUGAGAACAGAAACCUAACGGAGCUGGUGGUGGCCGUGACUGACGAGAACAUCGUGGGGCUGUUCGCGGCCCUCCUGGCCGAGAGAAGAGUCCUGCUCACCGCCAGCAAACUCAGCACCGUGAGG
rnacentral:sRNA from 1 species